UACGUAGGGUGCGAGCGUUGUCCGGAAUUACUGGGCGUAAGGAGCUCGUAGGUGGUUUGUCGCGUUGUUCGUGAAAUCUCACGGCUUAACUGUGAGCGUGCGGGCGAUACGGGCAGACUAGAGUACUGCAGGGGAGACUGGAAUUCCUGGUGUAGCGGUGGAAUGCGCAGAUAUCAGGAGGAACACCGGUGGCGAAGGCGGGUCUCUGGGCAGUAACUGACGCUGAGGAGCGAAAGCGUGGGGAGCGAACAGGAUUAGAUACCCUGGUAGUCCACGCCGUAAACGGUGGGUACUAGGUGUGGGUUUCCUUCCUUGGGAUCCGUGCCGUAGCUAACGCAUUAAGUACCCCGCCUGGGGAGUACGGCCGCAAGGCUAAAACUC
rnacentral:rRNA from 1 species